rnacentral:rRNA from 1 species
UAGGGAAUCUUGCGCAAUGGGCGAAAGCCUGACGCAGCCAUGCCGCGUGAAUGAUGAAGGUCUUAGGAUUGUAAAAUUCUUUCACCGGGGAAGAUAAUGACGGUACCCGGAGAAGUAGCCCCGGCUAACUUCGUGCCAGCAGCCGCGGUAAGACAGAGGAGCCAAGCGUUGUCCGGAAUGACUGGGCGUAAAGCGCACGCAGGCGCUGCGGUGCGUGGGGUGUGAAAACUGGCGGCUUAACUGCCAGAGGCCACCUCAUACGGCCGCACUCGAGCUCUGCAGAGGUCCAUGGAAUUGCCGGUGUAGUGGUGAAAUGCGUAGAGAUCGGCAGGAACACCCAGGGGGAAACCAGUGGACUGGGCAGCAGCUGACGCUGAGGUGCGAAAGCGUGGGGAGCGAAC